rnacentral:rRNA from 1 species
AAUCUUCCGCAAUGGGCGAAAGCCUGACCCAGCAACGCCGCGUGAAGGAUGAAAUCCCUCGGGAUGUAAACUUCGCAAGAACAGGAAGAAUAAGUAAGGGUUAAUAUCUCUUACGAUGACGGUACUGUUUGUAAGCUCCGGCUACCUCCGUGCCAGCAGCCGCGGUAAUACGGGGGGGGGCAAGCGUUGUUCGGAAUUACUGGGCGUAAAGGGCUCGUAGGCGGCCAACUAAGUCGGAUGUGAAAUCCCCAGGCUCAACCUGGGAACUGCAUCCGAUACUGGAUGGCUUGAAUUCGGGAGAGGGAUGCAGAAUUCCAGGUGUAGCGGUGAAAUGCGUAGAUAUCUGGAGGAAUACCGGUGGCGAAGGCGGCAUCCUGGACCGACAUUGACGCUGAGGAGCGAAAGCUAGGGGAGCAAA